AAAAUAUGUAUACAAUGCAAGAACAAAAAAAACGCAGAAUAGUAUACAAUUUGUAAUGAUAGUAGUGUAUUUCUUUAUUUUAUUGUGGUAUGGUUUCGAUCUUUAUGUUUUCGAAGCUAGGGAAAACGUAUUUACAAAGGUCUUUCUAGUUUUCUACGAUAAACGAUUAUCGAUUGAGUCCAUUGGAACAAUCGCAUAUCGCUGAUGAAUAGAAUUCUUUACGUGUAACAUUGAAAAUUGGCUAAGUGACAUUUUUAAUAAAAGAGAAUAGUUUUUUUUUGUGUGUUAUUCGAUUAAUGAUAUUUGUAUUUUAAGUAAAUCUAACACAAAUCUCAAAUUCUAACCAAUUCUAACCGAAUUUUAUAAAUAUUUUAAUCAAUAUUUCAACCUAACCUCGCAAAACUCAGUUAUUCCAAAACUUUCAAUUUCUUUUCAUAUGAAAGUUUUAAAGAAAUUUUAAUUUCAACGUAAUCUGAUUAAUGCAAAUUUAAAUAAAUGAAAUAUAACGUUCUAUUUUAGGAAAUAAUAAUCUUGGCUAUGUUAUUAUUCGAGAGACGAAUCGAGACAGCUCCAAUUAUCCCGCUAAUGUAAUAGUCGUUGGUGAAGUGUCCCCAAAAUUUUCGCAGAACCGAAUUCGUAUUCAAAAUCCUUCUCUACACACAAUCAAGCAAGAGCAUAACAACAACCACCAACAGAUGCACUUGGUGUACAGUCAGCCAACGAUGUGCUACUGUGAAUACAACAUGUUUCCACGAUAAAACCGAAACGAUGAAACGGAAGAGAACUUUCCCGCGGAGAUAAACGAGACGCAUACCUAGAGAACGUUCAGAAACUGGGUCAAUCCGAAAGCAUUUGGGUCAACCAGACGGAAGUCCCUAAGGGAAACACGAUAAGACAUGUCUAGUGGAAUUUAUGCCUCGUAAUUCGAAGAUGCAAGAUGGAAUCAUAGAUUUCACUGUGGAUUACAGAGUCAUCGGUGGCCGUUGGUUGUAGCGCGGAAAUUGCGUCAAUUAUUCGAGGAAGCCGGCUUGGCCCGCAAAUUGCGCGUUCAUCCCUGCCUCCAGAGGGUUUUCAGUUUAUUGCAGACGUUUCAUUAAGAGAGGAGAGAAGAGGUUAUGUUCUGAACUCUAAAUCGAUUGCUGUAAGAUUUGAAGGAGAAAAUUUUUUAUUAUCCUGAGAAGAUUAUCAGAUUAGAAUAUACACAAGGAAGACUGAAGAGAUCGAACAUGAACACGAAAGAGAAGUCUGUGGUGUGGUCUAAUGUGAGUGAACAAACCAUUAAACUACACUCAACCGGUACUCGACUGAUUAUAUCCCAUUAGAUACGACAUGUGUGCAUUAAGCGAGUUAUCGCGCUUGCACUAGUCUACUACACGAUCGAGACCAUUGGCUGAAGUUAACAAUUUUAAUGGGAGAGAUUUAUAGUUAGAAGAAACUGUACUAGAUAUAUAAACUUGUAUUAUAUUUGACUUUAUUUUAGGAUCAAAUUAUUAUUAUUAAUAUUUUGAUCUUAAUUAAGAUUGUGUACAUUCAUUAGUUUUUCUAACUCUUUUUGUAGAUUUUAAUUUUUUUAAUUUAAAAAAAAAACAUA
rnacentral:lncRNA from 1 species